rnacentral:rRNA from 1 species
GACGGAGGAUGCAAGCGUUAUCCGGAAUGAUUGGGCGUAAAGCGUCCGCAGGUGGCAGUUCAAGUCUGCUGUCAAAGACCGGGGCUUAACUUCGGAAAGGCAGUGGAAACUGAACAGCUAGAGUAUGGUAGGGGCAGAGGGAAUUCCUGGUGUAGCGGUGAAAUGCAUAGAGAUCAGGAAGAACAUCGGUGGCGAAGGCGCUCUGCUGGACCAUAACUGACACUCAGGGACGAAAGCUAGGGGAGCGAAUGGG